AAAGUCGUAACAAGGUCUCCGUUGGUGAACCAGCGGAGGGAUCAUUACCGAGUUUACAACUCCCAAACCCCUGUGAACAUACCUACGUUGCUUCGGCGGACCACCCCAACCCCCUCGGGGCGAGGGGCCGCCAGAGGACCCAAAACCCAACUGUUUUUUCCGUAACGAAACCUAUUCUGAGUGGAAUUAUUAAAUAAAUCAAAACUUUCAACAACGGAUCUCUUGGCUCUG
rnacentral:misc_RNA from 2 species